rnacentral:rRNA from 1 species
GAUGAACGCUGGCGGCGUGCCUAACACAUGCAAGUCGAGCGAACGGACGAGAAGUUUGCUUCUCUGAUGUUAGCGGCGGACGGGUGAGUAACACGUGGAUAACCUACCUAUAAGACUGGGAUAACUUCGGGAAACCGGAGCUAAUACCGGAUAAUAUUUUGAACCGCAUGGUUCAAAAGUGAAAGACGGUCUUGCUGUCACUUAUAGAUGGAUCCGCGCUGCAUUAGCUAGUUGGUAAGGUAACGGCUUACCAAGGCUACGAUGCAUAGCCGACCUGAGAGGGUGAUCGGCCACACUGGAACUGAGACAGGGUCCAGACUCCUGCGGGAGGCAGCAGUAGGGAAUCUUACGCAAUGGGCGAGAGCCUGACGGAGCAACGCCGCGUGAGUGAUGAAGGACUUCGGAUCGUAAAGCUCUGUUAUUAGGGAAGAACAUAUGUGUAAGUAACUGUGCACAUCUUGACGGUACCUAAUCAGAAAGCCACGGCUAACUACGUG